AUUGAACGCUGGCGGCAUGCCUUACACAUGCAAGUCGAACGGUAACAGGUCUUCGGAUGCUGACGAGUGGCGAACGGGUGAGUAAUACAUCGGAACGUGCCCCGACGUGGGGGAUAACGAGGCGAAAGCUUUGCUAAUACCGCAUACGAUCUAAGGAUGAAAGCAGGGGACCGCAAGGCCUUGCGCGUUUGGAGCGGCCGAUGGCAGAUUAGGUAGUUGGUGGGAUAAAAGCUUACCAAGCCGACGAUCUGUAGCUGGUCUGAGAGGACGACCAGCCACACUGGGACUGAGACACGGCCCAGACUCCUACGGGAGGCAGCAGUGGGGAAUUUUGGACAAUGGGCGAAAGCCUGAUCCAGCAAUGCCGCGUGCAGGAUGAAGGCCUUCGGGUUGUAAACUGCUUUUGUACGGAACGAAAAGGCUCUGGCUAAUACCUGGGGCACAUGACGGUACCGUAAGAAUAAGCACCGGCUAACUACGUG
rnacentral:rRNA from 1 species